UUUUAGUUUUGUAUCGAUGUU
rnacentral:piRNA from 1 species